UAAAAAUCUCUUCCCAACCACACUUAAAUCCAGGAAAGUUUGAAAUGUACCCAUAUCAGAUAUGCAUUUUUUUUUCAUCAAAAUCUACACAUCCCACGCCAAUAAAACACAAGUAACAGGAUCAAAUCACACAGAGACCAACAGACUUUAACCUACCGCAUUAAAACCACAAAACUCUCUCCCUGCAGGCUCCCUCGGGCUGGCGGGAGUGGCCAGAAACCGUGGCAAAAGAGCUGGGCACUCUUCGGCUAGCUUCCUGAGGAGUCUCCCUCGAUUUGGAUUCCUUCACCCACAACCCUUUAAUUUCAGAAAUGUCUCCGAAGGAAGAUAGCGAACGUUUCUCUGUGAAUUGUUCUUUUUAUAUCACUCUAGAAGCCUCCUCGCCCUCGGCUGGCCUCUGCGGAGAUUCCAGGCCCCACAGAGACCAGGACGUCCCUCAGCGCCACCGCCCCUCGUGCCAAUGCAGCCGGGAAAUCGCCGUUACCCACACUGGGCAAGAGAACCGCACGGGGGCAAUCGGGGAGGCCAGGACAAGGGAGAAGUGGAGGGAGAAGGUUCCAGGUUGGCCGUAUUCAAGAGCAGGCUGAGCAGCGCAGAGGAAGCCCUGGCGGCGCCGGCGCUGCCAAGCUUACUGCGUCCACCCACCCCAGCCCGGUAAACUCUCCGUCGCUCAUGGGGACUGGUUUUCCUCCCACUUUAAAAUUUUAUAUGGAUAGCCCAUGUCAAUUUAGAAUGAAAUAGAUUUUAAUACGCUAAGUAAAAACAAAUUGAAAUAAAAUAAAGGAAUCAC